UUGCGUCACGAAGUCGGCAGCCAAUGAAACGAGGUGCUGGAAAAGAGGGAUUGGGUUUGAAUCUUGUUGCCGAGUUUGAAUCGCGGUGAGGCGGACAUCGAAGUGAAGUGUCGCGGUAACCUUUGGUGGACUAGAGGUCCUAGUGUUAACUUGGCAAAGGUCAGUCGGGAAUCUCCUCUGAGUCUCAGUUGUAGCGUCAAGAUAAGACCUGCCAGCACUGUGUAACGGGAUUGCCAAGAAUCAGAUGAGAGAAAUAUUCAGGCUUUCACAUAAACAGAAGCAAGAUAGUCAAUAAUGUCUGUCACCGAGGAAGACCUGUGUCACCACAUGAAAGUAGUUGUUCGUGUGCGUCCUGAAAAUACAAAAGAAAAGGCAGCUGGAUUCCAUAAAGUGGUCCAUGUUGUGGAUAAGCAUAUCCUAGUUUUUGAUCCCAAACAAGAAGAAAUCAGUUUUUUCCAUGGAAAGAAAACUGCAAAUCGAGAUAUUACAAAGAGACAAAAUAAGGAUCUCAAAUUUGUAUUUGAUGCUGUUUUUGAUGAAACUUCAACUCAAUUGGAAGUUUUUGAACACACUACUAAGCCAAUUCUUCGUAGUUUUUUGAAUGGAUAUAAUUGCACAGUACUUGCAUAUGGUGCCACUGGAGCUGGGAAGACCCACACGAUGCUAGGAUCAGCUGCUGAACCUGGAGUGAUGUAUCUAACGAUGUUAGACCUUUACAAAUCUAUGGAGGAGAUUAAAGAAGAGAAAGUAUGUAGUACCGCAGUUUCUUAUCUGGAGGUAUAUAAUGAACAGAUUCGUGACCUCUUAGUAAAUUCAGGACCACUUGCCGUUCGGGAAGAUGCCCAAAAAGGGGUAGUUGUUCAGGGGUUGACUUUACAUCAGCCCAAGUCCUCAGAGGAAAUUUUACAGUUGUUGGAUAAUGGAAACAGAAAUAGGACACAGCAUCCCACUGAUAUGAAUGCCACAUCUUCUCGUUCUCAUGCUGUUUUCCAGAUUUAUUUGCGACAACAAGACAGAACAGCAAGUAUCAGUCAAAAUGUACGAAUUGCCAAGAUGUCACUCAUUGAUCUGGCAGGGUCUGAGCGAGCCAGUACUACCAGUGCUAAAGGGACCCGAUUUAUAGAAGGCACAAAUAUUAAUCGGUCACUCUUAGCUCUUGGGAAUGUUAUCAAUGCCUUAGCAGAUGCAAAGAGAAAGAAUCAGCAUAUUCCUUACAGAAAUAGUAAGCUCACUCGCUUGUUAAAGGAUUCUCUUGGAGGAAACUGUCAAACUAUAAUGAUAGCUGCUGUUAGUCCUUCCUCUGUGUUCUACGAUGACACAUAUAACACUCUUAAGUAUGCUAAUCGUGCAAAGGACAUUAAAUCUUCUUUGAAGAGCAAUGUUCUUAACCUUGACAAUCAUAUAACUCGGUAUGUAAAGAUCUGUAAUGAGCAGAAGGAAGAGAUUUUAAUGUUAAAAGAAAAACUAAAAGCCUAUGAAGAACAGAAAGCCUUUACUGAUGAAAAUAACAAAGCAAAGUUAAUGAUUUCAAACCCUCAGGAAAAAGAAAUUGAAAGAUUUCAAGAAAUUCUGAACUGCUUGUUCCAGAAUCGAGACGAAAUUAGACAAGAAUAUCUGAAGUUGGAAAUGUUACUAAAAGAAAAUGAACUUAAAUCAUUCUAUCAACAACAGUGCCAUAAGCAAAUUGAAAUGAUGUGUUCUGAAGACAAAGUAGAAAAGGCCACUUGCCGACGAGAUCAUAGACUUGCAAUGUUGAAAACUCGUCGCUGCUACCUAGAGAAGAAAAGGGAAGAGGAAUUGAAGCAAUUUGAUGAGAAUACUAAUUGGCUCCAUCGUGUAAAAUCCGAAAUGGAGCUCUUAGGUCAAAAUGGCCAUAUUCCAAAGGAGCUCAGUAAAGAUCUUCAUUGUCAUCAUUUGCACCUUCAGAACAAAGACUUGAAAGCACAAAUUAAACAUAUGAUGGAUCUAGCUUGUCUUCAAGAACAGCAACACAGGCAAACUGAGGCAGUAUUGAAUGCUUUGCUUCCAGUCCUAAGAAAACAGUAUUGUGCAUUAAAAGAAGCUGGCCUUUCAAAUGCUGCUUUUGAGUCUGACUUCAAAGAAAUUGAACAUUUGGUAGAGAGAAAGAAAGUGGUGGUUUGGGCUGACCAAACUAAUGAGCAUACUUUAAAGCAAAAUGACCUAACAGGGGUUUCUGUUCUUAUGACCUUUCCACAACUUGGACCACCAGAUCAAUCUCCUUGUUGUACAUCUUCAAGUGAAUCUAAUCUGUUUAAAAUCCUUCCACAAAAAAGAACCCGAAGAAAAUUAAUGCCUUCUCCCUUGAACACAAAACAUCCCCAAAAGUCUACACUGUCUGAAAGUUUGCAGCUCAAUGAUUCUCUCAGCAAAGAACUUCAACCUAUUGUGUAUACGCCGGAAGACUGUAGAAAAACUCAAAAUUCAUCUAUAGUGACCUUACUACAACCAUCAUCACAUUCUACAAGUUUUCAGACCAUCAGCUCAAAUGUAAACAGUGAUAAUUCUCUGAAAAUGUUAUGUGAAGCAGGUAUUCCUCUCAGCAGGAGGAAAGAAUAUGCACAGGAAGAUUUGGACUCUACAUUUACUAUAUGUGAAGACACCAGGAGCUUAAAAAGUAAAUUACCUGAACAAGAAUCACUAUCAAACAAUAACAUUUUACAAAGGCUUGCCUCUUCUUCAUUUUCAACUAAACAUUCUCUGCCUAUACCAAGCAUAGUACCAUCCUACAUGGCAAUGACUGCGGCUGCCAAAAGGAAACGGAAGUUGACAAGCAUUUGCCAAGCAUCAAGUGUAGAGGCCAAGCACAAAAUGGAAGACUCCAGCUACCAGCAAUCUCACUGAUCUAAGGAAAGAAAAUAGUUCUAUAUGUAGCUUUUGCCUUCAAGAUGUUUGCCAAGUUCUGAAUUCUGUGGCAUAAGAGGCCAAGAAAUAAAGCCGAAAGAAGCAGAAGUAUUAAGUAGAGUUUUGACAUUCUCAUGCAGCUGGGACACAAAAACUGUACCGGGAUCCAUCAAGAAGAAAAGUUCUGCAUCAAAUACUUCAUUAACUGCGGAGGUAAAUUCUGGAUUUGCCAAACGUGUUCGACAAGAUAAUGCAAGUGAUAAGCACUUACAAGAAAACAGAC